rnacentral:rRNA from 1 species
UAAUACGUAGGGUGCAAGCGUUGUCCGGAAUUAUUGGGCGUAAAGAGCUCGUAGGCGGCUUGUCGCGUCUGCUGUGAAAACCCGAGGCUCAACCUCGGGCCUGCAGUGGGUACGGGCAGGCUAGAGUGCGGUAGGGGAGAUUGGAAUUCCUGGUGUAGCGGUGGAAUGCGCAGAUAUCAGGAGGAACACCGAUGGCGAAGGCAGAUCUCUGGGCCGCUACUGACGCUGAGGAGCGAAAGCAUGGGGAGCGAACAGGAUUAGAUACCCUGGUAGUCCAUGCCGUAAACGUUGGGAACUAGAUGUAGGGCCUGUUCCACGGGUUCUGUGUCGUAGCUAACGCAUUAAGUUCCCCGCCUGGGGAGUACGGCCGCAAGGCUAAA